rnacentral:lncRNA from 1 species
AAAAUUUGGACUUUCCAAGAGCUCUUUGAAACACCAACAGAGAAUGUGGAAGAGGCCAUUACUGAAUGAUGCAAAGCCGACAGAGCAUCUGGCUCCUCCGCAGGUCCUGGGCACAGCUGCCAAAUGGGGGUCCUGUGAGCUGUCAGGAUGGCUCGGACGCUGUGGACGGGCUCUCUGUCUCUUCUCUGCCGCAGUAACCCCUUUUCUUUAGAAUGAAUAUAUUCAAGUCGAUUUUUUAAAUUAAGUUCAUCAUUUAUACAUACAAACUCAUCUUUCUUAUUUCUUUUUAAGAAAGUAAUUGAUAACCUUCACUUUUAACAUGUUAU